AUUGAACGCUGGCGGCAUGCCUUACACAUGCAAGUCGAACGGCAGCACGGGUGCUUGCACCUGGUGGCGAGUGGCGAACGGGUGAGAAAUACAUCGGAACAUGUCCUGUAGUGGGGGAUGGCCCGGCGAAAGCCGGAUUAAUACCGCAUACGAUCUACGGAUGAAAGCGGGGGACCUUCGGGCCUCGCGCUAUAGGGUUGGCCGAUGGCUGAUUAGCUAGUUGGUGGGGUAAAGGCCUACCAAGGCGACGAUCAGUAGCUGGUCUGAGAGGACGACCAGCCACACUGGGACUGAGACACGGCCCAGACUCCUACGGGAGGCAGCAGUGGGGAAUUUUGGACAAUGGGCGAAAGCCUGAUCCAGCAAUGCCGCGUGUGUGAAGAAGGCCUUCGGGUUGUAAAGCACUUUUGUCCGGAAAGAAAUCCUUGGCCCUAAUACGGUCGGGGGAUGACGGUACCGGAAGAAUAAGCACCGGCUAACUACG
rnacentral:rRNA from 1 species